GCUUCAUUUUUCCAAAAAAAAACAACAGAGAAUAGUUUAGUUCUCUCUCAGCCCCUCCAUCAGACUGAUAGGGCUGUCGCCUGCGCCGCCAUGACCCCGUCGUAGACGGUGGCCGGAGCAGCAGAAAUCUGGGUUUUUAACCCCGCUUCGACGACCGAUUGAAGGCCGAGCCUUCAUUGCCGUAGGGCCGUGAGAAGAAACCCCAAACGCCACCCUUUUCGGUCCGAUUUUGGUGACCCGAAAAACUCCGGUGACAACGCUUGCGGGGCGAUUCGGGUAUGUUUCUUUCUCCGUUUCUUUUCUUUAUUAAUAGUUUCCUUUUAGAACAGAUUUGUAAUAAAUAAAUAAAUAAAGUACAAUUAAUGGAUAGAUCGAAAAGAGAGGGAAAAAAAAAGAAGAAAUAGGGCAUUAACCUUCUGUUCUUUUAUUUCCAAUAUUUUAAAGUGUCAGAAAAAAUUACAAGCCCUAGAUCUCGGCUUUUAUAGCCGAUUUAACUACUUAGUUUUCUAUUUAUUUUGUCGUUUUGCGAUUUGGAUUUUUUCUGCUUGUUGGUUUCUUUUCUCUUUGUUUUUUUCCUUUUUGUUGUUUCUGUUGGCGUGUUAUGGGUGUUUUGCAGGUGCCAGACGUGCGUGAAGGAGGCCAUGGUGGCAGUGGCGUGCGAUGCUGAUGGGACGUGCAACGAACGGUGGUGGCAGCAAGGCUGGGGCUGGCGUGUGAGGCGGCCAUGCGGCGCGCCCUAAGCAAUACAUAUAUGGGAAUCCAUACAAAGGAUAGCAAAAACUCUAUACGGUUGAUCUUUUUAGCCCGCUUCAAGCUAGAUUGACUAAUCAACCCGUCUUGGGGUAAAGACUUCUUCCGCUUACGUUUUCUUCCACUUAACUCUUGUACAUGGGAAAUGAGAUUCUAUUUUUUUUUGUUUAAUUUACUGCGAAUUUAUAA